AAAUGAUAUUUAUACAUGAAUCUCCAAAGGGCUUCAUGGCCUUUGGAGAUUCAUGUAUUUAUAAUCGAAUCAGAAAUGAAUGCAACAUUUCUGAUUCGAUUAUAAAGAUCUUUUCCCUGGUGAUCCAAUCAUUAGAUUAUCAAAAGGCUUUUGAUACAGUUAGUCACAACUUUAUUUUGACUUUAUAUUUGUCCUUUUUUUAACUUUGGUAAGUUUUUCAUUAAAGCCUUUAGGACACUUUAUAGAGAUAAAAACAUUUCUAUAAACUUCUAUACGGCACAUCUAGUUGGUUUUAUAUCCAUGAAGGGCUUGGCCAGGCUGUUCGGCCACAACUUACAUUUUCCUGCUUGUUCUAAAAGAUUUAAUCAGACAGAGCUCAUUUCAGGGAAUUAAAAUGUUUGAUCAAGAAAUAAAAAUGUCACAACUUGCUGACGAUACAACAGUAUUUUUAAGAGAUUCUAAUGAAAUUCCUGUAGCUCUGUCUGUUACAGCUAAACUCUCAAGCAUUUCAAGAUUGAAAGUCAAUCUAAAGAAAAGUGAAAUCCUUCCUUUAAAUUCGACGGCUGUUACUGAAAUUUGUGGUAUCCCUGUAAAAAACACUGCAACUUACCUAGGAGUUAAAAUCUCCACAGUAACAGGGGUCAUAAUUUUACCCCUGUUUGUGAAUCUAUUACAAAUAAAUGUAACACUUGGUUAACCGGGGAUUGAACUAUUUAUGAGCAAAGCAGAAGGAAUGUCCAGGGUGUCAUAUCUUUUCUCGUCACUAGAUGUCAGUAAAUCGCUCUGUUCUGAAUACCUCAUGGUGCCUUUUUCAGGCUGGUUGCCUGAAAUACGUUUAUAUUCAUAAAAAACCUGCUGCUCCUUCCCUGUCUAGAAUAUAAGUUUUCUACAUUUUUAUUUUCUUUACUAACUCUGACUAUAAAAGUUAAACUAUUGUUGCUGAUGGAUUGGUUUGCCAUCGUCACGUAACUGAGUUUUCUGACCAAUAGCGGAAGGUCCGUGUGACGUCAGAAGGUUAGCUGCUCAGAGCCUCGGUUACCAUGGUGACGUCCUCUGCGUGUCUGGUUUAGUGGUCAGUUUGUGUGAGUCUUUGCUCAGCUCUUCCUGUCGCACAGCUAGCUUAGCCGCACCGUUACCAUGACGACACGUCAUCUUCAAAGCGGGUUUCCGUUCAGAUGCGCGUUUCUUUCCGUUUGUUCUCCGCAGCCGAAUGAUAGUAACGGGUUUUGUUAGAGUCGUCGUGAAAAGAACGACUGAUUCGGUUCGAGCUGAAACGAGAAGAACCUCUGAGUUCCUUAAAGUGAUUCAUUUCUGCAUGAGGUUCUUCCUCCAUCGCUGCUCACCUGGAAGACUCCAGGUUGAUUCUUAUUGGUUGUUCUUCACUACAGAGCCCCGGUCCUCCCCGGUUCGGUCCGGUCCGGUCCGGCAGACAUGGAGCAGUACAGCAUCCUGGGUCGGAUCGGAGAAGGAGCUCAUGGCAUUGUCUUCCAGGCCAAACACAUCGAGACAGGAGAGACGGUGGCCCUGAAGAAGGUGGCUCUGAGGAAGCUGGAGGACGGGAUCCCGAACCAGGCAGUGAGGGAGAUCAAGGCUCUGCAGGAGAUCGAGGACAACCAGCAUGUGGUGAAGCUGAAGGAUUUCUUCCCUCAUGGAACCGGCUUUGUCCUGGUCUUUGACUUCAUGCUCUCUGACCUCUCUGAGGUCAUCAGGAACUCCCAGCGACCUCUGACCCCGGCGCAGGUGAAGGGCUACAUGAUGAUGCUGCUGAAGGGCGUGGCCUUCCUGCACCAGAACUCCAUCAUGCACCGGGACCUGAAGCCCGCCAACCUCCUCAUCAGUUCCUCGGGUCACCUGAAGGUGGCAGACUUCGGCCUGGCCCGGCUGUUCAGUGACCAGGGGGAGAGGCUCUACAGCCACCAGGUAGCCACCAGGUGGUACCGAGCCCCAGAGCUGCUGUACGGAGCCCGGAAAUACGAUGAGGGAGUUGACCUGUGGGCGGUGGGCUGUAUCUUCGGAGAGCUGCUCAACUCCUCUCCUCUGUUUCCCGGGGAAAACGACAUCGAACAGCUCUGCUGCGUCCUGCGGGUUCUGGGGACGCCGACCCGGGAGAGCUGGCCCGUAAGAACCGCACCUCACCGCUCAGCAGAACACACAGUGUCUAGAACCAGAACCAGGGUCAGAACCAGGCAGGUAUCAGGCCCGGCUCUACCUAAACCCAGAAACAGGAAGGUUCUGGUUCUGAUGGGUUCACCUCUGGUCUGCUUCCAGAACCAGAUCUAGACCUGAGGAGUUCUGGAUGGACUGACGGUUUCUGUCGGUCCAGUCAGAACGUUUGGAAUGUUGAAGGAAUCACUGGAGCAGCUUUGGGUUCUGGUGGAGUUCUGGCUCAGGUUCUGGUGGACGGUGAGCGGUUCUGGAGAUGGAAUGAUCGGAACCGCUCAUCUGACCGGAGCAGGAACUGGAACCGAGCCCUGAGGAACUUCCUCCAGACGUGUUCAGGAAAUGGUCGAGUUGCCAGAUUAUAAUAAAAUCACCUUCAAGGAGAAUCCAGCGAUCCCAUUGGAGGAGAUCGUCCCUGACACCUGUCCUCA